GAGGGGGAAAGCAAGGAGCUAGGGGAAGCAGACUGCAGGGAGACAGCGCCUGGAACCCCCUCCCCAGGGACCUGGCCCUGGGCCCCCAGCCCCAAAAGGGGCCCUGCCCUCCCCGGGGUCGCGCUCUCUUCCCCCCGCCCUGCCCCCGCCCUUCAGCUUUGUGUCCCCAGGAGGGUGGGCUGCAGGAUUUCCAGCCAAGCCUUGGCUGCCUGCUCAGUUUUUCCAAACCCUCCAGUCGGAGAAGGCGGGAGCCUUGUCAGGAUAAGAGUCCCUCCCCCCCCCUCUGCCCCUGCCGGCCCCCUGGUCCAGCUUGGAGUUUGCUGUCCCCGCAGCUUUCCAAACUCCUUUCCCUUUCCGACCCUGGCCCCAGCGCCCCCUAGCCCCACCUCUGUUGGUUCCCAAGUUCCAAGUUCAGGUUGGAGGGGCCAGGUGGACUCCACAAUCCUAGCGAGGCGCUGGUAAAGCCUCACUCUGCCGGCCGACCCAGAGACCUGCGGGGCGCCGGCCUGACUCCCGGCCUGGGCCCGCCCUGUCCCAGGACUCGGCUUCUGGCCACCAGGGAAGGUGGCUCUUGGGGUCUCCCGCUCCCGGAAGGAGGCGGUGCCGGGGACGUCGGCACAGCUGGGCGGUAAGAUAGAAACUCAUAUUUGCCCAGUUGGAGCUCGGGUUCCAUAUGAAGCUGAAGAUGCUCUUGAACUGAUCCUCCGGCCUUCCCUUCCUGUCAUGAGCCCUUCAUUCAGGGCUUAUACCCCUGCCCCUCAUCUGGACCUCCCCGAUCUUGCCCAGUGCCCAGCUCCUGGGCCCAUGCACCCAGAAACAUUCACUGAAGCCCUCCUGUGAACCUGGCCAGCACCUGAGACAGUCAUGCAAGGAACACAGAGACUGGAAGUUAUGAUCUGAGUCCUCAGGAAUCUCAUGCCAGCCAGAUGUACAGACAGGAGGAACGACACAUAUGGGAGUCAGUACUCUGGUGGGUGGCACUGAUGUGACAGGUGAUGGGGAACAGAAGACACAGGUUGCUACUGUUCUUUGUGAAGCAGUCAGCACUCGCUCGGCACUGGUUGAUUUCAUUGGAGGUGAGGGGGCAAUGAGAUAGAAGGAAAAUGGCCUGGGAGAAGAAGCCUUGAGUUCUAGUCCCAGGUUCACAAUUCUAGUUGUGAAACUUGGUAAUUCCUUAAGUCACACAAGCCUCACUUUUCUCAUUUACCCCUUCCUUGUAAAUUCGUGGUGGUAACCAUUGAGAUAAUAUAGGCAAUGCUUUAAAAAA
rnacentral:lncRNA from 1 species